rnacentral:misc_RNA from 1 species
GAUGAAGAACGCAGCGAAAUGCGAUAAGUAAUGCGAAUUGCAGAAUCCGUGAGUCAUCGAGUCUUUGAACGCACAUUGCGCCCCCUGGUAUUCCGGGGGGCAUGCCUGUCCGAGCGUCAUUGCUGCCCUCAAGCACGGCUUGUGUGUUGGGCCCCCGCCCCCCGGCUUCGGGGGGCGGGCCCGAAAGGCAGCGGCGGCACCGCGUCCGGUCCUCGAGCGUAUGGGGCUUCGUCACCCGCUCUGUAGGCCCGGCCGGCGCCCGCCGGCGACCCCAAUCAAUCUUUCCAGGUUGACCUCGGAUCAGGUAGGGAUACCCGCUGAACUUAAGCAUAUCAAUAAGCGGAGGA